UACGUAGGGGGCAAGCGUUAUCCGGAUUUACUGGGUGUAAAGGGAGCGUAGAUGGCUGUGCAAGUCUGAAGUGAAAGGCAUGGGCUCAACCUGUGGACUGCUUUGGAAACUGUGCAGCUAGAGUGUCGGAGAGGUAAGUGGAAUUCCUAGUGUAGCGGUGAAAUGCGUAGAUAUUAGGAGGAACACCAGUGGCGAAGGCGGCUUACUGGACGAUGACUGACGUUGAGGCUCGAAAGCGUGGGGAGCAAACAGG
rnacentral:rRNA from 1 species